rnacentral:rRNA from 1 species
CGAGUGCUCCAAGCGUUAUCCGGAAUUAUUGGGCGUAAAGGGUGUGUAGGUGGUGUAGUUAGUCUUCUGUUAAAUUCUUCGGCUUAACCGGGGGCAUGCGGGAGAAACGGCUACACUAGAGGAUGCGAGAGGUGAAUGGAACUCAUGGAGUAGGGGUGAAAUCCGUUGAUAUCAUGGGGAACACCAAAAAGCGAAGGCAAUUCACUGGCGCACUCCUGACACUGAAACACGAAAGCGUAGGUAGCGAAUGGGAUUAGAUACCCCAGUAGUCUACGCCCUAAACGAUGACAACUAGCUUUUCGGAGUAUCGACCCUCUGAGAGGCGAAGCUAACGCGUUAAGUUGUCCGCCUGGGUAGUACGGCCGCAAGGCUA